ensembl:ncRNA T03G11.15 ncRNA
UAAAAUACUCGAGGCUUGGGUUACCACCACUGCCCUCCUCAUCUCGCUCGCUAUUUUUUCAGAUUAAAAGAACGCCGAAGGCUAUUAAACAGGCUGGAGUCUUUUGAAAAACGUGAUGUAGGUGAUUGAGGGAGACUAUU